GACGGGUGAGUAACAUGUAGGUAUCUGCCCUUUGGCCUGGAAUAACACGAGGAAACUUGUGCUAAUACCGGAUAAGUCUUUACGGAGAAAGCUUUAUGCACCAUUGGAUGAGCCUGCACUUGAUUAGUUUGUUGGUGGGGUAAUGGCCUACCAAGACUGUGAUCAAUAGCUGAUUUGAGAGGAUGAUCAGCCACAUUGGGACUGAGACACGGCCCAAACUCCUACGGGAGGCAGCAGUGGGGAAUCUUGCACAAUGGAGGAAACUCUGAUGCAGCGAUGCCGCGUGAGUGAAGAAGGCCCUUGGGUUGUAAAGCUCUUUCGUCGGGGAAGAAAAUGACUGUACCCGAAUAAGAAGGU
rnacentral:rRNA from 1 species